rnacentral:rRNA from 1 species
GUAAGGAAUAUUGGUCAAUGGACGAAAGUCUGAACCAGCCAUGCCGCGUGAAGGAUGAAGGCCCUCUGGGUUGUAAACUUCUUUUAUCUGGGACGAAAAAAGGGUAUUCUUACUCACUUGACGGUACCAGAGGAAUAAGCACUGGCUAACUCCGUGCCAGCAGCCGCGGUAAUACGGAGGGUGCAAGCGUUAUCCGGAUUCACUGGGUUUAAAGGGUGCGUAGGUGGGUAUUUAAGUCAGUGGUGAAAUCUCCGAGCUUAACUCGGAAACUGCCAUUGAUACUAUUUACCUUGAAUGCCCUGGAGGUAAGCGGAAUAUGUCAUGUAGCGGUGAAAUGCUUAGAUAUGACAUAGAACACCAAUUGCGAAGGCAGCUUACUACGGGGUGAUUGACACUGAGGCACGAAAGCGUGGGGAGCAAACAGGAUUAGAAACCCCUGUAGUCC